AGCGUUGUCCGGAAUCAUUGGGCGUAAAGAGCGUGUAGGCGGCCCGAUAAGUCCGCUGUGAAAGUCCAGGGCUCAACCCUGGGAUGCCGGUGGAUACUGUCGGGCUCGAGUCCGGAAGAGGAGUGUGGAAUUCCUGGUGUAGCGGUGAAAUGCGCAGAUAUCAGGAGGAACACCAAUGGCGAAGGCAGCACUCUGGGACGUGACUGACGCUGAGACGCGAAAGCGUGGGGAGCAAACAGG
rnacentral:rRNA from 1 species